GGCCUGAUGGUCUAGUAGUAUGAUUCUCCCUUCGGGUUGGUUCUUCUCGCAACUUGUAGUUGUUAAUUGGGAGAGGUCCCGGGUUCAAUUCCCGGUCAGGCCC
rnacentral:tRNA from 1 species